rnacentral:rRNA from 1 species
UAGGGAAUCUUCCGCAAUGGAUGCAAGUCUGACGGAGCAACGCCGCGCGAGUGAAGAAGGAUUUCGGUUCGUAAAACUCUGUUGUUAGAGAAGAACAGCGCAUAGAGUAACUGUUAUGCGUGUGACGGUAUCUAACCAGAAAGCCACGGCUAACUACGUGCCAGCAGCCGCGGUAAUACGUAGGUGGCAAGCGUUGUCCGGAUUUAUUGGGCGUAAAGCGAGCGCAGGCGGUCAAUUAAGUCUGAUGUGAAAGCCCCCGGCUCAACCGGGGAGGGUCAUUGGAAACUGGUUGACUUGAGUGCAGAAGAGGAGAGUGGAAUUCCAUGUGUAGCGGUGAAAUGCGUAGAUAUAUGGAGGAACACCAGUGGCGAAGGCGACUCUCUGGUCUGUAACUGACGCGGAGGCUCGAAAGCGUGGGUAGCAAACAGG